rnacentral:rRNA from 1 species
UAAUACGAGGGGUGCAAGCGUUGUCCGGAUUCAUUGGGCGUAAAGGGUGCGUAGGCGUCCGAGAAAGUUAUUUGUUAAAGCCUUCGGCUUAACCGAAGAAAUGCAAGUAAAACUACUUGGAUAGAGUUUAAGAGAGGAAAAUGGAAUUCCUGGUGUAGCGGUGACAUGCGUAGAUAUCAGGAGGAACAUCAAUGGCGAAGGCAAUUUUCUGGCUUAAAACUGACGCUGAGGCACGAAAGCGUGGGGAGCAAACAGGAUUAGAUACCCUGGUAGUCCACGCCGUAAACGAUGAGUACUUGGUGCCGGAGGAUUCGACCCCCUCGGUGCCGUAGCUAACGCGUUAAGUACUCCGCCUGGGGACUACGACCGCAAGGUUG